rnacentral:rRNA from 1 species
AUUGAACGCUGGCGGUAUGCUUAACACAUGCAAGUCGAACGGUAACAGGCUUUCGGGCGCUGACGAGUGGCGGACGGGUGAGUAACGCGUAGGAAUCUGCCUUAUAGUGGGGGACAACGUGGGGGAAACCCACGCUAAUACCGCAUACGCCCUACGGGGGAAAGCGGGGGAUCUUAGGACCUCGCGCUAUGAGAUGAGCCUGCGUUAGAUUAGCUAGUUGGUAGGGUAAAGGCCUACCAAGGCGACGAUCUAUAGCUGGUCUGAGAGGACGAUCAGCCACACUGGGACUGAGACACGGCCCAGACUCCUACGGGAGGCAGCAGUGGGGAAUAUUGGACAAUGGGCGGCAAGCCUGAUCCAGCAAUACCGCGUGUGUGAAGAAGGUCUUUCGGAUUGUAAAACCCUGUCGUCGGGGACGAAGGUAGGGGGUUAAGUAGCCCUUUUGCUUGACGGUACCCGGAGAGGAAGCCCCGGCUAACUCUGUGCCAGCAGCCGCGGGU